UCCCAGAGGGGACUUCUGCUCUUCACUUAUCUACUGCUUUUACAGAUGCAGGGACUACGAUGCCUUCAGGAACAUUGUCAACCAGUGGAGCAGGGGGGAACAUUCAGUGAUUCACAGGAACACUGCAGCUGCAGCAGGAGUCGAUGGGGACGAUGAUGCUGAGAACAGUGCAUGAAGAUAUCUUCAAGUACAGAUGACAUGGGGAGACAGCAGCAUGACUGCAGCACCACUCAACAUCAAAGACAGGAAAUAAAAGACUCUCCAUCCAGACUCAGCAGCGAGCAUCAUGCCAGGACGACCCAAAGCAUGCAAUCAAAGCUGAGGUGGAGUUGUCUGGUUUCCAUCUUAUCGUCAUCCUUGAGGCAGACAGCGAGGGCUGUGAUCUGUUCCUUCAUUGGCAGCUACAAACUUGUAUGAUUGAUUUGAGUUUGUGACACUAUUUGAACUGUAUUUCAGUUGUGUUAGCUUAAUGGGGAGGAAAAAUCUUGUGGCCAUAGACAUAUACCAUUUUGGUGAAACCCAUGAGCAGAGGUACUUGUGCUUGCAAAUCAAGUUUCAUAAUUGAGGUCACUGAACCAUGUUCAGUGGAUCCUGGUACAAGUAAGGGAAGUAACUCUGCAGAGAGAAUUGCAGUUUCGUAGUCUCAGACUACCGAGUCCCAUGCAAGAAUAGACAAGUUUGUUAUUCAUGUUCCUGAUUCUAGUCUCAAUGUAAAGUUAGGACUCUUGAAGCCAUAUCAAGGCGGCCUGGAAGUAAUCGUGGCUCAUCCAGGCAGACCAGCGGUUAAUAUGAACAACUUUCCAUGUCACUGCAUUAUAACACUCAAGUCGUGGAGCUUGACCAACCAAUCCAAUAUGGUCACCUCUUCUGAGAAGCAAUAGAGAGCUGGGGACCUGUUUUAGCAUGGGCAAGUCUUUGGAGUCUUGUCACUGCCCAAAUCGAUAAGUCUUGACAUUCUUCAGACUUGAAAACAAAUCUUGCAACCAAAUCUUAUAUGCAGUCCACACCUUGAUUGAUCCUGGUUUGAAAUGUUUCAUGCUUUCACAGUUGUAUUCAAUCAAUAGAUAGCACUAAUUAAAGUUCAUUGAUGCUGCCACACAGCUACAUUAGACAAGAUUACUGAUG